GUAGAGCUGUUCUUCGUUCCUCAGUGAGGGAAUUUUUGUGCAGUGAGGCUAUGCACUAUCUUGGAAUUCCAACUAGCCGAGCUGCAAGUCUGGUUGUAAGCGAUGAUGAAGUGUGGCGAGAUCAGUUUUACAAUGGAAAUAUUACGAAAGAACGAGGUGCGAUAGUGCUGCGUGCUGCAAAAUCAUGGUUUAGAAUUGGAUCGUUAGAAAUUUUGGCUCAUUAUGGUGAACUGGAAUUA